rnacentral:lncRNA from 1 species
GCGCUUGCAGAAGCCAAGAACGAAACAUUUCGUCAACAGCUUUGCAAGGUGAAGAGAUGGAAUUUUCAAUGCUCUUUCAGUUUCCCUGCUUGAAAUUUACUUUUUUUACAGCCUUGGGAAAUUACAUAUUACCUCAUCCAUGGCAUUUCAACGAGGGAGACUAUAUAGGUAGAGCAGGUAGAGCCCAACGUUUAGAAGUCGUGUUCAGGGAUUUAUCAACUCACCGGACACAUGGGAACUCUUAACUUGUCCUUUGUGGUACAUCUUCUGUGUGUAAUUGUUCUUUACCCGGUUGUCUAUGCUAAAUGCAGUGACCGAAAUGCGCAAAUAUAUUAUCUUUCUCAAACUCGCCAGACCCUCAAUGAUCUUUCCAUGGAGAGGAGACCAAGAGGCUGUAUCCCAGAGGCGGAAAGGUUAAGGGUCCAACGUCCAACGCUUUCAUUACAGGAGGGGGAAAAGCUUUGGACACUGAGACUUGCGUUUCAACUAGCCAGCGAGCUCUUCCAACAAAACCUAACACUUGUGAAAUGGAAUUCCAUCAAACUCAGGGAUCUCCAAGACCUUCUUGCUCGACAAAAUAUGACCUAUUCGGAAUGUGUGAGAGACAUGAGUGUGCAUCUAAACCUUCCAAUUAAGAACUACUUCAAAAGGCUGGACGACUUUCUUUUACAUGAGCGUUUCAGCGCGUGCUCAUGGGAGGUCGUGAGAGCUGAAAUGGGGAGCAUCAUUUCACAAGUAAUCAAAAAUGCCAAGAAACACGUGUGAGAGUAGCAUUACUUUUAGUUCAAUUCUGCAUUAAAAUGUAAUUUUGUUUAAUAUAUUAAGUAUGCCACUGUAACCUUUAUAUAUUUAUGUUAUUUAUCCGUGUUGCAAAUAAUUGCCUUGUACUCGAUAAUAUUUAAAUAAAAAGACAAACACGC